GUAGGUGGCAAGCGUUGUCCGGAAUUAUUGGGCGUAAAGCGCGCGCAGGGCGGUCCUUUAAGUCUGAUGUGAAAGCCCACGGCUCAACCGUGGAGGGUCAUUGGAAACUGGGGGACUUGAGUACAGAAGAGGAAAGCGGAAUUCCAAGUGUAGCGGUGAAAUGCGUAGAUAUUUGGAGGAACACCAGUGGCGAAGGCGGCUUUCUGGUCUGUAACUGACGCUGAGGCGCGAAAGCGUGGGGAGCAAACAGGAUUAGAUACCCUGGUAGUCCACGCCGUAAACGAUGAGUGCUAAGUGUUAGGGGGUUUCCGCCCCUUAGUGCUGCAGCUAACGCAUUAAGCACUCCGCCUGGGGAGUACGGCCGCAAGGCUG
rnacentral:rRNA from 1 species